GCCGUUCCCGUUCUCGCCGUAGUUCGCGAACGCGGAGCCCAGCACGUUGGUGUUGUUCCCGUAGGAGGAGAAGGAGAGGGGCACGCCGUUCCCGUUCUUGCCGUAGCCGGAGAAGGACUCGUCGCCGGCGUUGGCGUCGCCGGAGUAGGCGGCGAAGGACUGGGCCCGGCCGUUGGACUCGGCGUCGUAGUUGCUGAACCGGAGAUCGGGGACGUUGGUCUCGCCGGCGUAGGCGGCGAAGGACCCGGCCCCGCCGGUGGCGGCGGCGCCGUAGCUGGUGAAGUUGGCGGUGACGACGUUGCCCUCGGGCUCGUAGGAGGCGAAGGAGUCGUUGUGCCCGGCCGAGUCGCGGCUGUACCGCCGGAACGAGUCGAC
rnacentral:lncRNA from 1 species